UACGUAGGGUGCAAGCGUUGCCCGGAUUUAUUGGGCGUAAAGGGCGCGUAGGCGGCUCGGCACGUCCGUUGUGAAAUCGCCCGGCUCAACUGGGCGGGGUCAGCGGAUACGGCCGAGCUUGAGCAAGCUAGGGGGCAAUGGAAUUCCCGGUGUAGUGGUGGAAUGCGUAGAUAUCAGGAGGAACACCUGUGGUGUAGACAGCUUACUGGACCACGACUGACGCUGAGACACGAAAGCGUGGGUAGCAAACAGG
rnacentral:rRNA from 1 species